GGGGGUGAACGGUCUCGACUUUAGAUGUUGGGAUAGGUGAAGCGGGCCGAGGAAGCCGGGAUGAUCUCGUAAACCAAUAACCCUGGCAAAAAACUAAGCGCCAGUACAACUGCCGCUGAUUACGCCUUCGCUGCAUAAGCGAACCUCGUAAUCCGUUAGACCAAGUGUGCUCUCGACUUGGAACCUAGCGUCGCUAGAGAGCUCACCUGCUGGUGGUGUUAUAGACACUAAUGGGGAAAUCAAUCUGUAACUGAGUUCGUUGACUACUUGUGAUCGAGAGAGUCAGGACUGAGAAAACGAUUAUGACCACUACGCCCGUAGAAGCCCUAUGUCAGUACUAGAGGACCCGGGUUCGAUUCCCGGCACCUCCACCA
rnacentral:tmRNA from 3 species